rnacentral:lncRNA from 1 species
AUUAAAUCUUCACUCCCAAAUCCUAACUCUAAUCCCAAAUCUUCAUUUUUCUCCUGUAACUAAAAUUUUCUUCCAUUUUCACAAAACAAAGAAACCCCUACUCCUUCCAUAAAUUUCUUGGAUACGGGUGACCCAUGUACUUUCGAGUUUGACGGCAACACUAUGAAUGAAAAUGGAUUUUUGCAACUUUAUAGGGACGACAAAAAGGUAUGCGUUAAGCCCCACAUUUUGUAGAUCUGAAUUUAAUGUUUUUUUAUUGAACUAAAUAUAAAAAUAUUCUUUUUGGGAUGUUAAUAAACGUUGGAUUUUGCGUAUUUUUUUAUUUUUAUUUUUAUUUUUUGGUUCUUGGACUAGAAUCAUAACCAUAAAAAAUGGCGCAAAACUGUAUUUUUGUGCAGGCUUCAAUGUUGAGGACAACACAGUUGUUGAUAUAGAUGAUGAGCUCAAUGAUUUUGAUAAUGAGGUUGAUGAUGACAAUUUUGAAACAGGUAACUCUGUUCUAGGACGUGUCUCGGUUGGAUAUAACCAUGUUUUGGGUGAAGAAGACCAAUGUGAUUUAGAGUCAGAAGAAUUUUAUUAUCCAUCAUCUGAGGAGCUUGACAUUGAUUAUGCUUUUAAGAAGAUGGUAAUUUUAGAUUUUUAGAAUUCUGUCCAGAGAAGGAAUUGAUAGAUCCUAAGGUGAAAGUCAACGAGAAGUUUGCUGAUAUCAACGAAUUCAAGAAAGCAGUGAGAAACUGUGGGUUUAUGAGUAGUGCUAAUAUUAGAUUCAAAGUUAAUGAUGCCAAAAGGGUACAAGCGAUGUGUAAAUCAGGAUGUAAAUGGAGGGUACGGGCUUCAUGGACCAAAAAGGAAAGAUAUGUACAAAUAAAGUCAAUCACUCCUAUAUGCAUACAAUAGAGAUGACACAAAUAGGCACUGCACGUAUAAGUAUCUUGUUUAGAAAUACUUGGAGAGAUUUAAGAUUGAUCCCGGUUGGAAGACUAGUAAUUUUUGUAAAGAGUCAAAGAUGAUUUGAAGCUGAAAAUUAAUAGAAUUACUGUAUGUAGGGCUAGGAAACGUGCUAGACUGUUGAUAGAAAGAUCAGAUGAACAAUCAAUUUGGGCUACUACAGUCAUACGCUGCAGAAGUGAUAAGAGCAAAUCCUAGGUCUACAGUUAUAAUUGUGGUUAAGGAUUCGAAAUUUUAAGGCAUAUAUGUAUGCUUAGAAGCAUGUAAGAAAUGUUUUCUCUACGACUGUAGGUCAUUAAUAGGUUUUGAUGGUUUUUUCUUGAAAGAAAGCUUUGGUUGGCUUAGAUGCGAACGAUUGUAUAUAUCCCAUUGCAUAUGCUAUUGUGGAAAGGAAGAAUAUGUCUACAUGGGGUUUGUUCCUUAGGCACUUGGGAGAAGAUCUUCAAAUUGAUAACAACAAUGAAUGGACGUUUAUGACUGAUAGGCAAAAAGCGUUGCAAAAUGCGAUUGGUGCUAUCUAUCCUCAAGCUAAAUAUAUGUACUGUGCACAACACAUGUACACGAACUUCUUUAGGAAAGACUUCAAGGACAAAACUCUUAAAGACUACUUAUGGAGAGCUGCUAAAUCCACAACAGUUGUUGAUUACAAAUUUUGGAUAGAGGAGAUAAAGAAGUUCAGUGACCGUGCCUAUAAAUGGUUAAUGAAAAAGGAUCUUUCAGAGUGGAGUAAGUCUCAUUUCUUAACUAAAUCCAAAAGUGUCAUUCUCUUGAACAACUUGUGCGAGUGUUUCAAUAAGAUUUUCUUAGAAGAUAGAGAAAUCAAUUUUGACUAUGCUAGCAGACAUCGUGAAAAUGAUUCAAAUGAGGAGGUAUAAGUUGAAGAGGGUGGAAGGAUUAUUAUGUCCAAAAAUUCAAAAGAAGUUAAACAAGAUCAUUAACAUGGAAAAUGAGCGUGAGGUAGAAUUAUUCGGGGCCCUCAGUCAUAUGUGUUAUGUCCAUCAUGAGAGUUUGUUGUUGUUCUUGCCCAAAUACACUUGUGCAUGUAUGAGAUGGCAACUGUUAGGCAUCCCAUGUGCACAUGCAGUGGCUACCAUUAAAGACUGUUAAGAUAACUCUCGGAUGUAUAUGUUCAUGACUGCUAUAAGGUGAGAACAUACCUAAACUAUUAUGAGAAUAUUGUCAAUCCAAUAAAUGGGAAGAACAUAACUGGGUGAUUCAUUUUUACUGUAUCUUCAUUGUUGUUCCUGUCAUAGAACAAACUUGUACCUCGGAGAAAGAGGAACACCAUGCCAGUCAACCAAGAACAAUCUUCAAUAUCAGAAUUCAUGUUCAUACCUAUGCCUGGUAUUGUUUUAAGUUAAACUGCAAUCUUUAGUAAAACGAGUGAAAGCACUUCGAGAUUAGUCAUGUUUGGGUUGAGAGCAUUUCUGUUGAUGAGUUGGUAAAAGACUUGCAAGAAUUUGAUGCUGAGGAAAACUCAAAAUGGAGAAAAGCAACAGCUAGAAACAGAGAGAUUGUAAGAGGUUCUGUUUCGUUUGCCAAAUCUCGAACCAUAAGCAAGUGAAGAUAAGAUGCAACUUUCUUUUAUAAUGCACUAAGAGGAUUUGCAAGCAGCAACAUUCUUUUUUAUUGGCAUCUUCAAUUUUAUAUUCAGGCAACUCAUGGCUAACAUUUUUCCCUUCACUUAUAACUGGCGAGUCAUGCAAAUCUUCAUCCAUGUACAACAGAAACUGGAGAGAACUAUAAUGGUAGCAUUUUUCAGUCCAUUCAUGUCUGUGUGUGCAUGUUUCUCUAGCCCAAUGACGGAAUCAAAAAAUGUGUAGUCCAUUAAUGUCUCUGCAUUUUUUGAUUAUCUACAUGCUAGAAAGUUGGGUGCACUAAGAAGUUUGUAGAAAACACCUUUCAUGUGAUGCAGAAUUACUAAUUUUUGUAAUGUGUGAAGAUACAAUUAAAAGGUUUUUAGUUAUCUUUUG